UUCUCGUUAGAUCACCGAAGUCAAGCAUUGGGCGCUGUCAGUACUUGGGUGGGUGACCACCUGGGAACACCGCGUGCCGU